UAGAGAAAUGACAGAAGAUGAUAGUGAAGAAGGAAAAAUAUACGUGAGAGGUGGGUGGGAAACGGGGUGGUGCCAGCCUGGAAGCAGGGAGUGGUUGACCACCUGAAAUAGUUACUGGCCUUAGAGAGGAUCCAGAGCAACAACAUGGAGGAAUAAAACCUGCCCACGUGUGAAGCAAAGCCUGCCCAGAGGGACGACAAAUUCACUGUAUUCAGGAAAGAUAGGCCUCAUAGUAAAGGUCACCAGAUAACAGCGCUGAUUUUGCAAAAAGAAGGAAGAGACCCAACCUGCUUGGCUCAAAACCACAGCAGGGAAAGUGUUACAAGAGGGUCGGGGUGUAACUGGGACUCUGCUGGUGGCAUUGGCCAGAGACAGUCACCUUCGCAGCAAACAGGCAUUCAUGCAGAGCUUUCUAUGCGCUGCAGAGUUACAUUUGCAUAUGGGAAAAGAUAUCUCAAAUAUAAUGAAGCAAAUUGCUGCUCCCUCGGUAGCUGCUUUCACAGAUAUAAAUGUGCGAGCAGACACUAUGAAUAGCAGCUUGGGCUGGAUGCAGUAGAGGGAUGGAUCUCCUUGCCAACCACCAGAACAAGAAGAGAUGAUGGUGUUUCACAUUUGUAACUAGCAGCAAGGCCGCCAAGGUCAUAGAAAAAAUAAAAAUGCUUGAUAGAUUUCAAAGAGAUGCAGUUUGAAAUAAAUGGAUGGGUAAAAAAAUAGGUCUAAAAAAAGGCAUUCUAAAUCAAACGGGAAAAGAGUCAGAGAAAAAGUCAUUAGAUAAAAUCAAAAGGACUGAAGGACUCAGAGACCUGCAUAUAAAGGAAACACUGGACUUCUUUAUGCCAGAGCAGCAGAAAUGAUGUAGGUGUUGUACCUUAUGCAAAGGAGAAGGGUUUCACAGAAGAUCUCUUGACAGCUUGGUAAUUACGGUCACUGGAAAGCCUACAGGUAGAUGGGAGGAAGAUCGCUCACCUAAGAAAGUUUUGUCUUCAAGUUGGGGAAAUACAGAAGGAAUCUCCUCCAGCCACUGGACUGCAUACUUCCAUGGAGACAUGGCACUCCCUGCUUCUUCCCUCAGAGCAGAGUAUUGGAGCAGGAAAGAAACAAGCUUCAGAGGGCCAGGGAGAGAGAGAACAAGCAUGAAGACACCUUUAAGCCAUGGUGGAAGAACAGAUCACUUCUGUAGAAGAAUAAAGAUCAUGAUUCUUAAAAAGAAAACCAAAGGUAAAGUGUAUGAGUCAAGCGGGAAGCUUACGACACCCUGCUGAACAAGAUCAGAAAUGAGUUCUGGUUAGCAGCAUGAGGAUGAAGUGAGAAAUGGUAUAAAUAACCUGACUUUAUGUAACCCACACCCUUCAAGGCCAUGCCAGGACACCUGGUAGCCCAGCACAGAGCAGGCCUGGUGAGCAUAGCAGCACAACUGAGGACAGGACCUCAAAUCAUGUCAGACGUCAGUCUCAAUGCUACCUAGAUCUGAAGACC